UACGAGGGGGGCAAGCGUUGUUCGGAUUAUUGGGCGUAAAGGGUGCGUAGGCGGUUUGGCAAGUCUUGUGUGAAAUCUUCGGGCUCAACCCGAAGCCUGCAUAAGAAACUGCCGGGCUUGAGUAUGGGAGAGGUGAGUGGAAUUUCCGGUGUAGCGGUGAAAUGCGUAGAUAUCGGAAGGAACACCUGUGGCGAAAGCGGCUCACUGGACCAUAACUGACGCUGAUGCACGAAAGCUAGGGGAGCAAACAGG
rnacentral:rRNA from 1 species